rnacentral:rRNA from 1 species
UACGUAGGCAGCGAGCGUUGUUCGGAGUUACUGGGCGUAAAGGGUGUGUAGGCGGUUGUUUAAGUUUGGUGUGAAAUCUCCCGGCUCAACUGGGAGGGUGCGCCGAAUACUGAAUGACUUGGAGUGCGGGAGAGGAAAGUGGAAUUCCUGGUGUAGCGGUGAAAUGCGUAGAUAUCAGGAGGAACACCGGUGGUGUAGACGGCUUUCUGGACCGUAACUGACGCUGAGGCGACGAAAGCGUGGGGAGCAAACAGG